rnacentral:rRNA from 1 species
UACGUAGGGGGCAAGCGUUGUCCGGAAUCAUUGGGCGUAAAGCGCGUGUAGGCGGCUCGGUAAGUCCGCUCUGAAAGCCCGGGGCUCAACCCCGGGAGGCGGGCGGAUACUGUCGAGCUAGAGUCCGGAAGAGGCGAGUGGAAUUCCUGGUGUAGCGGUGAAAUGCGCAGAUAUCAGGAGGAACACCAAUGGCGAAGGCAGCUCGCUGGGACGGUACUGACGCUGAGACGCGAAAGCGUGGGGAGCAAACAGG